rnacentral:rRNA from 1 species
AUACGGAGGGUGCAAGCGUUAUCCGGAUUUAUUGGGUUUAAAGGGUUCGUAGGCGGACAAGUCAGUCAGUGGUGAAAGCCUGUGGCUCAACCAUAGAACUGCCAUUGAUACUGCUUGUCUUGAGUACAGUUAAAGUGGGCGGAAUGAGUUAUGUAGCGGUGAAAUGCAUAGAUAUAACUUAGAACACCGAUUGCGAAGGCAGCUCACUAAAUUGUAACUGACGCUGAGGAACGAAAGCGUGGGGAGCGAACAGAAUUAGAUACCCCAGUAGUCC